rnacentral:antisense_RNA from 1 species
AUGAUGGCCCCCAGUUCCCAAAUGCCUACUAUAUUUCAGGAUUUCUCAGCAAGGAUUGGUAGAAUUUGACUUGACUGCUAGCCUUUAUCUGGACCGGACUUCACAAAGCAGGGUGAAAGAAUUCGCGUGAUCUCCAUGGUGGCUAAUCAUAUAAUUUCCAGUUUCAGCAGCUGGCACCAGCUAUUUGCUCCCCCGCUACCCAAGCAAUUCUAGUAACUGUGAGAUAUCCUAUGGCUCACAGAACAAAUGCCCAACUCCUUUCUACAGUCACGGGGUCAGAGUACACAGCCAACCUACUAGCAGAGCUGGAGUUAUGGUUUGAGCCAAAGUACAAGGAAGGAGGAAGCCCCAACCUACCCCGGACAUGCCCUGAAUGACACAGCCAUUUAGGGCCUGCCUAAGAUGCCAUUCUGUUUGCAAACACAUAUUACCUGCCAUAUCACUCAACAAAAUAAUUCCAUCAGAAGGCCUGAAGGCAAAUGACUAAU